rnacentral:rRNA from 1 species
GACGAACGCUGGCGGCGUGCUUAACACAUGCAAGUCGAACGCUGAAGCACCAGCUUGCUGGUGUGGAUGAGUGGCGAACGGGUGAGUAAUACGUGAGUAACCUGCCCUUGACUCUGGGAUAAGCCCUGGAAACUGGGUCUAAUACUGGAUGCUACAUGUCACCGCAUGGUGGUGUGUGGAAAGGGUUUACUGGUCUUGGAUGGGCUCACGGCCUAUCAGCUUGUUGGUGAGGUAAUGGCUCACCAAGGCGACGACGGGUAGCCGGCCUGAGAGGGUGACCGGCCAAAAAGGGACUGAGAGACGGCCGAGACUCGUAAGGGAGGCAGAAGUGGGGAAUAUUGCAAAAUGGGCGAAAGCCUGAUGCAGCGAAGCGGCGGGGGGGAUGACGGCCUUCGGGUUGUAAACAUCUUUCAGAAGGGAAGAAGCCAGAAGUGACGGUACCUGAAGAAGAAGCGCCGGCUAACUACGUG